AGCCAUUUUCUUUUCCAGAUCAUAUCGCCGGUUCUUCCAGGAUUGAUGUAGUGGAUGACCUUCUCAUGUCUCGUGAUGAAGUAUUCGCCGGAAAUUACUCAAGGCACAAGCUUCCAUGAAGAAAACCUCAGAUGCAAAGCGACGAGAGGUCCACUGCAUCAAUCCUGGAAGAACCGGCGAUAUAAUCUGGAAAAGAAAAUGACUA
rnacentral:pre_miRNA from 1 species